CCCGUCUGCAGCCCAGGGCCCCCCAAGCUGCCCUCCCCAGUCCUCCCCGUUCUCAGGGGGGAUCCUGGUGUCCCCUCUUCUCCCCAGGCAGGCGGCUCCUCCCUCCCUGAGGCCUCCUGGGGUCCUUCGGCCUGCUGGACGGUGUCCUUCCCUUCCCGCAGACGUCCCAGGGAGUCCCGGUGCGACGUUUCAAGACGCUGAGCGAGCUGAUUGCCCUCUACCUGCAGCCAAACCAGGGCCUGGCCUGCACUCUGCUCUUCCCUGUGGAACGGGAGAAGGAGAAAGAGAACGCGGAGGAGAGGGACUAUUCCGACGGGGAGGACGAGAAGCCCCCCUUGCCCCCUCGCUCGGGCUCCACCAGCAUUCCUGGGGGCAGCAGCCCCUCCCUCCUGGCGACAACCCCCCCUGCAGUGCAGGACCGAGCCCUGGAAAGCCCCACCAAUGGACUCAGCACCAUUUCCCACGAAUACCUGAAAGGCAGCUACUCCCUGGACCUGGAGGCGGUGAAGGGAGGGGCCAGCAACCUGCCCCACCUCAACAAAACCCUCGUCACAUCCUGCCGGCGC
rnacentral:lncRNA from 1 species